UGGAUAGAUUAUUGUAUUCGACUGUAUUCACGGCGUGAAACAGGGGAUUACACUGUUUUUAAAACGGAAAGUGAAUCAAUUAACAUAAUAGACUCCU
rnacentral:pre_miRNA from 1 species